UUUACUUGGCUAUGUUAAGUUUUCCCAACUCAACUCUGUAAAGUAAAAAUUACAUCAAACGGAAAGCACUUCAUUAAUAGGGUGGUUUGUCCAUUUCAGGACACCGUAUUUCCUCUUUAAUCUCGCUUGUUCACAGUCACAUGAUUAGCCCGCUUGUCAAUGCAAAUGGAGAUACACGGCUCUGCAAAAUCCGCUGUCAUCCUUUGAGUAAAGAUAUGAAUGUGGUCUUGUAAAAACUGUGGGAUGACUGCAUCGACAAGAAUCCAUCUACUAAACACUACAGAUAAGUGCUGAGUUCACUUGCAUUACCACCAUCCCACUUAUCAGUUUAUGGCGCAGCUGGGCCACUACUGACAGAUUCUCAGCAAGAAAGGAGAAGCAGUAGGACACAAAAUCAAAAACUUUAUGGCUGUUAUUUGACAAGAACGACUACAUUGCAACAAGAAGAUCUUGUAGCCUCCAAGCACUACCUUUGUAUCUCAACGAAGACCCUGAAAAGCUAGUGAAAGAGUACGGAAGUGAGAACCCUGAUGAAACCCAGGCAGAUUUGGAUCAGAUGGUCAUCGGCACCUAUGUGAUUAAACACCCAGGUGAAGAUGUUGAUCAGUCCCCAGAAGAUGUUGGCAUCAUAGUUGAAGGUGUGCAGGUGCUCAAUGAACUCAAAGAUGUCACCACUUCUUGUGCCUUACUGUUUGGGAUCAUCUACGACCUGAACCUGAGCAUUCUGACCUCAGGUACACUUUUAAAUUCAUCCAAAAGAUCCUGAUGGAACUUGAUACACACAGACUUUUAAACAAAAUCCAGGUACUCAAAAAUAAACUGCUGGAAUAAUGCAUGAAACCAUUAUGGGGGCUGUUCAGUGUGCUGAAAAGAUUUUGUUAUCCUGUUAACUUGAGCAGUAGUUUGGGUUGUCUGUUAACCUUUUUUUAUUUCUUACGUUACUGUUUCACCUUGAAGGUUACAAGUUUCAAAUUGAAAUCUAAGGUAGUAGUAUCAACCUACUGACCUGAGACCAUACGACUCUGUUAAGAGUUUACGUUGGGCAGCAGACAAAACAUUGUUUUGAGGUUUAUUCUUUUUUUUUGUUUUUUUUUUUUUUCUCAUGUGUCAGAUUGUUGUUACAGCACUUUCAGUUGUAUUAAGAUACCUCAUUGUAGCCACUUAGCUGUAAUGGGUAAAAAAAAUUCUCCUACAAAGACGCUUUACCAUAGUGUGGAUGUUCUGCUGCUAUUUGAACUAGUUGAAGCUUGUGUGGAGCUAAGAGCUCUGAAAAGGUUAUUGAAAGUUUAAAAAAUACU